rnacentral:rRNA from 1 species
AUACGUAGGUGGCAAGCGUUGUCCGGAAUUAUUGGGCGUAAAGGGCGUGUAGGUGGGUUACUAAGUCGUGUGUCUAAGUGCGAAGCUCAACUUCGUAUGGGCGCAGGAAACUGGUAAUCUUGAGUGCAGGAGAGGAAAGUGGAAUUCCCAGUGUAGCGGUGAAAUGCGUAGAUAUUGGGAGGAACACCAGUGGCGAAGGCGACUUUCUGGACUGUGUCUGACACUGAGGCGCGAAAGCCAGGGGAGCGAACGGGAUUAGAUACCCCGGUAGUCCUGGCCGUAAACGAUGGGUACUAGGUGUAGAGGGUAUCGACCCCUUCUGUGCCGGAGUUAACGCAAUAAGUACCCCGCCUGGGGAGUACGGCCGCAAGGUUGAA